GCAAACAUUUGAGUUGGGCCUUGAGGGAUGAAUAGAAGUUCUCUGGAAGGUGACAGAAGGACCAGCCUGCCAGUCAGAAGAGCUUUCACGAGGCACCCAGAUGUGAAACCAUGGAAGUUUCAGGAAACCAUGAGGAAACCGAGGCCCCGGAUAAGUGGAUUACGUGCCGUGAAAGACCCCAUCCAUCGGAGGCCUGGCGGUUGCACCCAGCUGCCUUCCAAAUCUGAAAACGGACUUGGAUCAAAAUCUCUGUCUGCACUGGCGGCGACAGUCGGGUCUGCUUUGCUAAGCAGGGACGGGUGAAGACACAGGCCUCUGGAGAUGGCAAUAUUUUCCUCCUUGACACAGCCAAGGGCUUGCAAAAUACCACGCUCCCAGGACAGCCAAGGGAAGUUGCCCUUCCCCCCGGCGGCACCCACUUCCUCCCAGGCCCAGGAGAGAGGGGGCCUGGCUACUAUCUCCCUGGACAGUAGUCAGCGAGCCUUCGACCAGGAAACACACAGCAGGCGCCAAUGAAGGAGGG